UACAGAGGGUGCGAGCGUUGUCCGGAAUCACUGGGCGUAAAGGGCGCGUAGGCGGCCUGAUAAGUCGGGGGUGAAAUCCUGUGGCUUAACCACAGGGCUGCCUCCGAGACUGUCGGGCUCGAGCACAGUAGAGGCAGGUGGAAUUCCCGGUGUAGCGGUGGAAUGCGUAGAGAUCGGGAAGAACAUCGGUGGCGAAGGCGGCCUGCUGGGGCUGUUGCUGACGCUGAGGCGACGACAGCGUGGGGAGCAAACAGG
rnacentral:rRNA from 1 species